rnacentral:sRNA from 1 species
AUUUGUUGGAUCUGAUGGUUUUGUACCUGAAUUUUUCAUAGGCAAUAGCUUGGAUUUCUUUAGGAGUAACUAAGAAUGACUAAUGGUAUAUUGAAUUCAAGAUCCAGGGUAAUGUGGGUUCAGUGUUAAUAUUGAAUAUGGUUAAAAGUCAUAUUAUUUUUUCCUGCCUCUUUGCUAUUUUUCAAUGAAUUCUUGGUGAUCUUUGCCUUUGAAAUCACAUAAUGCUAAAAUCUUCCUAAUUCCAAUUCCCCUUUUCUCACUCAUUAGUGAUCCCAAGGCACCGCCAUGUGAAUAUAAAGAUUGGCUGACAAAAAUGUCAGGAAAACAUGAUGUCGGAGCUUACAUGCUAAUGUAUAAGGGCGCUAAUCGUACCGAAACAGUCACGUCUUUUAGAAAACGAGAAAGUAAAGUGCCUGCUGAUCUCUUAAAGUAAGUACCCUUCUGCCCUCACCCUUAGUGGGAUCACAGCAGCCGCACAGCUGUGUCUCUCUUGUAGGCGGGCCUUCGUGAGGAUGAGUACAAGCCCUGAGGCUUUCCUGGCGCUCCGCUCCCACUUCGCCAGCUCUCACGCUCUGAUAUGCAUCAGCCACUGGAUCCUCGGGAUUGGAGACAGACAUCUG